rnacentral:rRNA from 1 species
UACGAAGGGGGCUAGCGUUGCUCGGAAUCACUGGGCGUAAAGCGCACGUAGGCGGAUUGCUAAGUCAGGGGUGAAAUCCUGGAGCUCAACUCCAGAACUGCCUUUGAUACUGGCGACCUUGAGUCCGGGAGAGGUGAGUGGAACUGCGAGUGUAGAGGUGAAAUUCGUAGAUAUCGCAAGAACACCAGUGGCGAAGGCGGCUCACUGGCCCGGUACUGACGCUGAGACACGAAAGCGUGGGGAGCAAACAGG